GACGAACGCUGGCGGCGUGCUUAACACAUGCAAGUCGAACGGAAAGGCCCUGCUUUUGUGGGGUGCUCGAGUGGCGAACGGGGGAGUAACACGUGAGUAACCUGCCCUUGACUUUGUGAGAACUGCAGGAAACUGGGGCUAAUACCGGAUAGGAGCUCCUGCUGCAUGGUGGGUGUUGGAAAGUUUCGGCGGUUGGGGAUGGACUCGCGGCUUAUCAGCUUGUUGGUGGGGUAGUGGCUUACCAAGGCUUUGACGGGUAGCCGGCCUGAGAGGGUGACCGGCCACAUUGGGACUGAGAUAAGGCCCAGACUCCUACGGGAGGCAGCAGUGGGGAAUAUUGCACAAUGGGCGGAAGCCUGAUGCAGCAACGCCGCGUGCGGGAUGACGGCCUUCGGGUUGUAAACCGAUUUCGCCUGUGACGAAGCGUGAGUGACGGUAAUGGGUAAAGAAGCACCGGCUAACUACGUG
rnacentral:rRNA from 1 species